CAGCCGCCACGGUAAUACGUAGGUGGCAAGCGUUGUCCGGAAUUAUUGGGCGUAAAGGGCCCGCAGGCGGUUUCUUAAGUCUGAUGUGAAAGCCCCCGGCUCAACCGGGGAGGGUCAUUGGAAACUGGGAAACUUGAGUGCAGAAGAGGAGAGUGGAAUUCCACGUGUAGCGGUGAAAUGCGUAGAGAUGUGGAGGAACACCAGUGGCGAAGGCGACUCUCUGGUCUGUAACUGACGCUGAGGAGCGAAAGCGUGGGGAGCGAACAGGAUUAGAUACCCCUGUAGUCCCUGUCUCUUAUAC
rnacentral:rRNA from 1 species